rnacentral:rRNA from 1 species
UAAGCCCGGGAAACUGGGUCUAAUACUGGAUGCUACAUGUCACCGCAUGGUGGUGUGUGGAAAGGGUUUACUGGUCUUGGAUGGGCUCACGGCCUAUCAGCUUGUUGGUGAGGUAAUGGCUCACCAAGGCGACGACGGGUAGCCGGCCUGAGAGGGUGACCGGCCACACUGGGACUGAGACACGGCCCAGACUCCUACGGGAGGCAGCAGUGGGGAAUAUUGCACAAUGGGCGAAAGCCUGAUGCAGCGACGCCGCGUGAGGGAUGACGGCCUUCGGGUUGUAAACCUCUUUCAGCAGGGAAGAAGCCACAAGUGACGGUACCUGCAGAAGAAGCGCCGGCUAACUACGUGCCAGCAGCCGCGGUAAUACGUAGGGCGCAAGCGUUGUCCGGAAUUAUUGGGCGUAAAGAGCUCGUAGGCGGUUUGUCGCGUCUGCUGUGAAAGCCCGGGGCUUAACCCCGGGUGUGCAGUGGGUACGGGCAGACUAGAGUGCAGUAGGGGAGACUGGAAUUCCUGGUGUAGCGGUGGAAUGCGCAGAUAUCAGGAGGAACACCGAUGGCGAAGGCAGGUCUCUGGGCUGUUACUGACGCUGAGGAGCGAAAGCAUGGGGAGCGAACAGGAUUAGAUACCCUGGUAGUCCAUGCCGUAAACGUUGGGCACUAGGUGUGGGGGGACAUUCCACGUUUUCCGCGCCGUAGCUAACGCAUUAAGUGCCCCGCCUGGGGAGUACGGCCGCAAGGCUAAAACUCAAAGGAAUUGACGGGGGCCCGCACAAGCGGCGGAGCAUGCGGAUUAAUUCGAUGCAACGCGAAGAACCUUACCAAGGCUUGACAUAUACCGGAUCGUUCCAGAGAUGGUUCUUCCCCUUUGGGGUCGGUAUACAGGUGGUGCAUGGUUGUCGUCAGCUCGUGUCGUGAGAUGUUGGGUUAAGUCCCGCAACGAGCGCAACCCUCGUUCCAUGUUGCCAGCACGUGAUGGUGGGGACUCAUGGGAGACUGCCGGGGUCAACUCGGAGGAAGGUGGGGAUGACGUCAAAUCAUCAUGCCCCUUAUGUCUUGGGCUUCACGCAUGCUACAAUGGCCGGUACAAAGGGUUGCGAUACUGUGAGGUGGAGCUAAUCCCAAAAAGCCGGUCUCAGUUCGGAUUGAGGUCUGCAACUCGACCUCAUGAAGUCGGAGUCGCUAGUAAUCGCAGAUCAGCAACGCUGCGGUGAAUACGUUCCCGGGCCUUGUACACACC